AUGAUGUAUUUUUUAUUUUGAACUUCACGUUCAAUUGUUUUGAAGGUGUUUGUUUGGUCUUGUAGAAAGCUUUGCAUAUUAUGGUAGCUGUAGUGGAGCAGCUUAAAGGUGCAAUUGGAGAAUCAGGACUGCUGGUUCUUCUUUGUCACUUUCGUAUCAUAGUGUUUAACAAUUUAACAUGUAUUUUUAGAAUUAAACUUGAAUAACAGAGGAAAUUUGUACCAGAAUAUCUCAUAAUGCUACAAGAGAUAAAAAGUAUAGUCCUGCAGA
rnacentral:lncRNA from 1 species